rnacentral:lncRNA from 1 species
AAAAAAUAAAAUCAGAAAGGUACGAAAGUGAUACACUUUAAAUCACAGAAUACUAAAAUAAAAAAAAAUGCGAAACUAUAUAAAUGAUAUUUAAAUUUUGUCUAAAUUACAUAAAAUUUUUCUGUUAAAAUUCGAUUUUUUACUUUCUCUUCCUGUCAUUUAAAAAUCUACACUUUGCCCCCUUAUAAAAUGAAAAAUAUACACUUCGUCUAUACCGUUAGUAAUCCGUUAGGAUUCCGUUUAUAAAAUAUUAUUAUAUAUUUUUUAUGCCAAAAAGGUCCUUAGUCUUUUCUCCUGUGAAUAUAGUGGGGGGCAAAAUGGUUAUUUUGUUAUCACAGUUCACAUCGUACCCUUGUGAAUAUUUUUUAUUUUACAAGAGAGUAAAGUAUAAAUUUUUAAAUGACAGAAAAAAAAGUGGAAAAUCGAACUUUGACAGAAAUUUUUAUAAUUUAACCUUAAAUUUUUUCUAAAUUAUUAUUGUUUAUUUAAUAAUAGUAUAUGUGUCUUGUCCCCAAGAAUAUUGGUGAGGUGGUGACAAAUAAAUAAAUCAAUCAAUCAACUUAAUUAGAAUAGUUGAAAUACAUUAUGCAAACACGUCUGGUGGGAGAUGGAUUGAUUUGAUUGGUUUAUCACCAUGACGUGGAGCCUCAGCAUCAAAAGACUCGAACUUUAGAAAAACACUUCAUUGGGGCCUACCUAACCACCCGGCGUUAAAGAACUCUUAGAUUCGCUGUUACGUAUUAAAUUAAAGGGGCAAUUGCUUAAAUAUUCAUAAAAAAUUUCUGAUUUUUGAAUUUAUUUUUCUUAGAAGAUUAAUAUUAAAAAUAUCUUUUUUACGUUCCAACUUAUUUUUUAAAAUCUGUUAAUUAACUCGAUUAUCUUUUUAAAAUUAUUAUUUUGUCAUUUCAAAUAUACAAGUUAGGGGCACAAAAAGUAUUUUGACUUUCGAUCUUUUUCAAUAUACUUUUCUAUCCUUACCAACAUUCUUAAAUUAAGGGCAAAAUUGAUAUUUUAAUUUUUUUUAACUGUAGUAGAUAUUUAAUAACUCACAUUUAAUCCAAGUUAACUUAACAGGAGGUAACUGCGGGGUUAUUUUGCAAUAACGAUGGAACAUAUAAGGAGUAUUUUAGAAAGAAAAAAAAAGUAAGGGUAAAUCGAAUAUUUUCAAACGUAUGAGGGGUAUAUAGGCAAUUAUCCUUAAAUUAAAUUUUAUUUUUAUUUAAAUAUUAGAUAAAAAUAAAAGUAAAAUUAAAAUUAAUAUAACAUAAUUUGUGUCUCCAAAAAAUAUAAUUUUUAUUUCAAAAAAAAUAUUUAUUUUUUAUUUUUAUUUUAUUUUUUUAUCAUGACUCCUUCAGAUAUGCUCUUUAUCUCUAUCAUCCAAAAAUUUUAAUAUACCCUUAUCGACGUUGCCGUUGCCGUAUGUGUCCAUGCGCUCCGGUAUAAUCUCAUUCGUCAUUUAUGCCAUAUUUAUAAUAAACAAUUAAUUAUUUUUAUAAUAGUUUUAUAUUUAAAAAUUAAAAUAUUUACCUGAAAUGUAUGGAAACAAAAUGUCAAUAUUAGACUAGCGCUGUAGUGUUUAUGAGCUUUGGAUAGGAUUGGCUUUAGUGUUAGUGACUGAUCGACAAAUCUGGAGAGUGUCGGACUGAGUCGGGAUCGUUUCUGCGCAAAAUGGAUGCAGAAAUGAACUCGACACACUCAAAUAAGCAAAACUGGAGUUUUGCCAUAUUCGGGCGCCCAAAAUAGGUUUCGGGUCGCCCAGAAGUUGAGUGCAGAAUUGAACUGAA